AAAUUGAAGAGUUUGAUCAUGGCUCAGAUUGAACGCUGGCGGCAGGCCUAACACAUGCAAGUCGAACGGUAACAGGAAACAGCUUGCUGUUUCGCUGACGAG
rnacentral:rRNA from 1 species